rnacentral:sRNA from 1 species
GCCGGGCAUGGUGGCACAUGCCUGUAAUCCCAGCAGCUUUGGAGUCUGAGGCAGGAGGGUUACGGUUCAAAGCCACCCUCAGCAAAAGUGAGGUGCUCAGCAACUCAGUGAGACCCUGUCUCUA